UACGAAGGGGGCUAGCGUUGCUCGGAAUCACUGGGCGUAAAGGGUGCGUAGGCGGGUCUUUAAGUCAGGGGUGAAAUCCUGGAGCUCAACUCCAGAACUGCCUUUGAUACUGAAGAUCUUGAGUUCGGGAGAGGUGAGUGGAACUGCGAGUGUAGAGGUGAAAUUCGUAGAUAUUCGCAAGAACACCGGUGGCGAAGGCGCCGCUCUGGGCCGAAACUGACGCUGAGGAGCGAAAGCAUGGGUAGCAAACAGG
rnacentral:rRNA from 1 species